GAAACAUUUGAGCAACAGCAACAAACCAGGCUUGACUGGAGCAGAGUGAGGAGGAGAGAGUGCAGGAGCCGAGGCAGGAAAGGGGCCCAUGGCCAGAUCCUGGAGGGCCUCAUCUUCCAUCUGAAGAGUCUAGGUUUUCUUCUAAAAGGACCGGAGUAGAUACUUUCAUACUUACUUACAGAAAUAGAAGGAGAUGCUAUUGAUAAGACUUUGGACGCUGAUGGCUGGACACUCCAUUAUAGUUACCUUGAACAUGAACCCAAAAAUGAACAUCUAAAUUAGUUCCUUGAGAGCAUUCAAGAAAAAAGCCAAUCACAUCUAUGUAACAUGUAAACAGCAUCCAUUUCCCGUUGAUGAUCCCAAACGUGGACUCUCAGCAAAGGGGAAUGAUGCUUCCCUCAGCACCGGGAGGGAAGAAGAGCCAGGCUCCUACUGCUUCUCAGAGGGAUUUGCCUCAAAGUGUGAUUCUAAUCAACACAUGAGUGAGGAAGAGGGGAUGGGACCGAAUCGCAACAAGGCACGCUAGCCACAUCUGAAUCCAGAUGUUGGUUGCUGGUGACAACAAGCUGCCUUCUUUGUUUAAUGAGGCCACCGACAAGCUGAACUCCAAGGAAACUCUGACGAUAGAGAGCAACACUCCUGUAAAACAAGAGUGGGGCGGGGGUGGG
rnacentral:lncRNA from 1 species